rnacentral:rRNA from 1 species
UACGUAGGCAGCGAGCGUUGUUCGGAGUUACUGGGCGUAAAGGGUGUGUAGGCGGUUGUUUAAGUUUGGUGUGAAAUCUCCCGGCUCAACUGGGAGGGUCACGCGAUACUGGUCGACUCGAAGGCAGGAGAGGGUAGUGGAAUUCCCGGUGUAGUGGUGAAAUGCGUAGAUAGUCGGGAGGAACACCAGUGGCGAAAGCGGCUCUCUGGAACGGUACUGACGCUGAGACGCGAAAGCGUGGGGAGCGAACAGG